rnacentral:lncRNA from 13 species
CUAUAGUGUAUCCUAUGGUGUAUCCUAUAGUGUAUCCUAUAGUGUAUCCUAUGGUGUAUCCUAUAGUGUAUCCUAUAGUGGAUCCUAUAGUGGAUCCUAUGGUGUAUCUUAUAGUGUGUCCUAUAGUGGAUCCUAUAGUGGAUCCUAUGGUGUGUCCUAUAGUGGAUCCUAUAGUGUAUCCUAUUGUGUGUCCUAUGGUGUGUCCUAUAGUGGAUUCUAUAUUGUGUCCUAUAUUGUAUCCUAUAGUGUAUCCUAUAGUGUAUCCUAUGGUGUAUCCUAUAGUGUAUCCUAUAGUGUAUCCUAUGGUGUAUCCUAUAGUGUAUCCUAUAGUGUAUCCUAUAGUGGAUUCUAUAUUGUGUCCUAUAGUGGAUCCUAUGGUGUAUCUUAUAGUGGAUCCUAUGGUGUGUCCUAUAGUGUGUCCUAUGGUGUGUCCUAUAGUGGAUUCUAUAUUGUGUCCUAUAUUGUAUCCUAUAGUGUAUCCUAUAGUGUAUCCUAUGGUGUAUCCUAUAGUGUAUCCUAUAGUGUAUCCUAUGGUGUAUCCUAUAGUGUAUCCUAUAGUGGAUCCUAUAGUGGAUCCUAUGGUGUAUCUUAUAGUGUGUCCUAUAGUGGAUCCUAUAGUGGAUCCUAUGGUGUGUCCUAUAGUGGAUCCUAUAGUGUAUCCUAUUGUGUGUCCUAUGGUGUGUCCUAUAGUGGAUUCUAUAUUGUGUCCUAUAUUGUAUCCUAUAGUGUAUCCUAUAGUGUAUCCUAUGGUGUAUCCUAUAGUGUAUCCUAUAGUGUAUCCUAUGGUGUAUCCUAUAGUGUAUCCUAUAGUGUAUCCUAUAGUGGAUUCUAUAUUGUGUCCUAUAGUGGAUCCUAUGGUGUAUCUUAUAGUGUGUCCUAUAGUGUGUCCUAUAGUGGAUCCUAUGGUGUAUCUUAUAGUGUGUCCUAUAGUGGAUCCUAUAGUGGAUUCUAUAGUGUAUCCUAUGGUGGAUCCUAUGGUGUAUCCUGUGGUGGAUCUUAUAGUGGAUCCUAUAGUGGAUCCUAUAGUGGGUCCUAUAGUGGAUCCUAUGGUGUAUCCUAUAGUGGAUCCUAUAGUGGAUCCUAUAGUGGAUCCUAUGGUGUAUCCUAUAGUGGAUCCUAUAGUGUGUAAUAGAGGACAGAAUGUCCCAUACUCCUGCCUGCCAGCAAGUCAACCACAAUAA